GGUAUGUGCAGAUGCUUCAGCAACGUUUUGGUUUCAUAGACAUUGACAAGAUCAAUCCAGAUGCUUGGCCUGCACUCAUAGCAGAUUUAUCAACAGGUGAAAAUGGAAUCGUAAGCUCUGCAUUUGGGAAUUGGCUGUGAGUUCAGAAGUUUCCAGAAUCUUGCUGACCAUGGAGAUGAGGACGGUGCACAUGUGGGGGUACUUACCUGCAGCCUUACCUCAACGCUCGCCAUUAGUUUCUCCGGUCGAAGUUAACCUCCCACCGUCAACCGACGCUGGUCGUUUCUGGUCGGACGUUUGUGGCGGCGGCUGUGGGUUUGCUAUGGCCAUUUCAGACACUGGGUAGCUAAUCAUAUGAGGUGCAACUGAUGAUCUUGGUCCAAGCUACGUGACCUCAGGGAGACAUGGGGAAACACCGGAACCUUUUCCUCUUCCGAGUGAAGUUUCAGUGGUGAAAGCUGCAGAAGGUUGGGCACAUUGUGUCUGUGUAACAGUGGCUGGAGAGGUGUAUACAUGGGGAUGGAAAGAGUGUGUGCCGUUUGGAACAGUUGUUGGAGACCCAUACACAGAUCAAUAUCCAGAAACAGACUUACUUGAUCAAGCGAAAGAACAUGAUGGCCAGAUGACUACUUCUCACGACUUACAACGUUACGCGUCUCAUCACCAUCGGCGCAGGUGCAUAUUCAGGUAUUUGAAUUGUUUGUCCUAUUGAUGUUUUGUUCUUUAAUUCGCCGCAUGCACGACUAUGCAACCGCCUCCCCUUCAACCCGUAGGCUCUCAAAAUCUACACCGGUCGCGUUCAGGAAAUUAUUGACAAGUCUGAAUGGUGGGUAGUUGAUGGAGAAAUGCAUGAAACUAGAGAAAACGUGGCACCUAGAGAAACUGAAGUAUUUAGUCUUUAGGUCAGAAUGUGGGAGCUUUAUUCUCAUUGAUUCACAUAUUAGUUCUGCAGGCACAGCAGUUGAACAAUGACAUAUUGGAGUUGAUAUACUACCUUCAAUUGAUUUGGUAAAUUUGUAAUAGAGAGUUGCAUAUUCAAAGAUAAUAAACUACUAUAUGUGUUAGGAACAACUCUUUUUUUGUAAUAAAAAAUUUUGGAUUACUCUUCACUUUUAUAGC